CUUUUCAGAGGUCAGAUGCUGCAAAGAGCUUGUGAGCCUCUUCAACCUGAAAAAGGCUGUGAGCAGUUCUCUUUUGGGACAUACUCCAUAUUUAUUUGCUGCUCCUAUUUCUCUCCAGCUCCGCAGAAAAUGAAAAGGUUCUGCAAAAUGUAAGUGUUUCAUCAGUAUUAGAUCAUGGAUCCUCCCAGUUACCACUCCUUCCUGGAAUAAGGGUGUCACUGCGAACUCAUGGAACAGGAGCGGUGUGUCACAGGCUGCUCUUCGCCAAACACAGCGUGUAAUCCUACACAAGUGUACAGCUGAGGCGGCAGCGACUUCCCUCAGUAAAAUCUCUUGUGUGUGUGAUUAAUGAUUAAUCAUUUCAUCCAGUUGUCCUCUAAGUUCCUGAUAAAUCAAAUUAUACAAGUGGCAAAAAUACGAGCAUUUUUUCCUUGUCAUGUUUUGCAUGAUUAACAACGACCAACUUCUCUUUCUGGGAGCAUGUUUCCUUUCUGCAGAAAUCACCAUUGGAAACUCUUCUGCAGAAACUGAAAGAGCCAUCAAGAGACUGUUGUGGCAGCACGGACCUCUUUCUACAAAGACUUUGAUGGCUUGUGAGAGGAUCACCACAGCAGCCAUGUCAUGGUGGUGGCUGAGCGUGGAUGUGCUGCAGUGCCAGUUUGUGCUUGGUCACUGCUAUGAGUGACACCAGAGGGGGACUGCUAUUUUAAUGCCUCUGCAUUACCUCACCCUGCUGUUCAGAAGAGGAAGUUCUUGUUUAUAUGGGUGUGCAAAUUCAGAAAGACCAGAAGUGGUUUGGUGACUUUGAACUUGACUGAACUGUCUAGAAGGACAUAUUCUGUUAUUCAAACCAUUUGUUCACAAAGUCUAACAUCUCUCAAGAUGCCAAAAUCAUAGCUGACAACAAUUAGCUGAAGUCUCUUUCAUAGAGGGUUAAGUUAAUGUGUUGUCCUUUUAUUUUGCCAUGUAAUACAACAGAAACUGAAUGAAUGGGGUAUCCUGCAAUGACACGGUCAACAUGUGCUUACAUAUUACUCUUCCACAUGUUGUUCAAGUAUUUGAACACCAGUUUCUGUGUUAGAUGUAUACCAGAGUUUAUCCUGUGCUUGAUUAUUACAGAACUUGACCUCCAAAACACAGGGUACUCCAAGUUAGUAUGGACCUCUGGAGCUCAUCUAGUCCAUCCCCUAACUCAAAGCAGGGCCACAUCCAAAGUUAGAGCAGGCUUUUCAGGGCUUUUCUCAGUUGAGUUUUAGCAGUCUCCCAUGAAGGGAGAUUCCACAGCCUUUCUGGGAAUAUGUGCCAGUUCUUAAUCACAUUCAUCAGGAGACUGUCUUGCUUUAGAUCCCAUUGGAAUUUGAAGACGUGCCAUUUGCCUCCCAUUCUUUUGCUGUACUUUUCCAAGAAGGGCCUUGCCCUGCCUUUCCUAUAACGUUUCUUUUUAUAGGAUAGUAAUAUUUUUUUUCCAGUAUGUAUGUAGAAAAAUCACCUUAAAGUAUUUAAUAAUACAGUACCACCUAUUUCAUAACUAACUUUAAAAAAAUUGUUUAUUCUCUGAAAAGUUACUUCUAUAGCUUAUUCUCAAUUAAAAUUCUUCCUA
ensembl:lncRNA